rnacentral:piRNA from 1 species
UUGGACUGAAGCCUUAGAGAAACAUAGU